rnacentral:rRNA from 1 species
AGGGAGCGUAGGCGGCUGAUUAAGUCAGCGGUGAAAGGUAGCAGCUUAACUGUUUUACAUGCCGUUGAUACUGGUUAGCUUGAGUUGACAGAAGGCAGAUAGAAUUCCUGGUGUAGCGGUGAAAUGCUUAGAUACCAGGAGGAAUACCGAUUGCGAAGGCAGUCUGCUGCAGUCACACUGACGCUGAGGCUCGAAGGUGCGGGGGAUCAAACAGGAUUAGAUACCCUGGU